GUUAUCCUCCCAAGUUGUUUGGGACUGAGGUUCUUGUUGGUGGUGAUUAUUCUGCAUCUGUAAAAAUGGAUAUGUUUUUUCUCCCUUGCUAGGAACUUUCUCUUCUUUGACAGGAAACAUGGGAGUUUAUUCAAAAUGGAACCAACACGUGCAGAUAACAUCACAUGUCAAAAGGUAUGAUCUGGAGAGUCAGCAAAAUAAACAAAAACCUAUCAGCCUAACUGUUGGGAAAGACACUAGUAUCUCUA
rnacentral:misc_RNA from 1 species